CCUACGGGUGGCAGCAGUGGGGAAUAUUGGGCAAUGGGCGCAAGCCUGACCCAGCAACGCCGCGUGAAGGAAGAAGGCUUUCGGGUUGUAAACUUCUUUUAUCAGGGACGAAGCAAGUGACGGUACCUGAGGAAUAAGCCACGGCUAACUACGUGCCAGCAGCCGCAGUAAUACGUAGGUGGCAAGCGUUAUCCGGAUUUCAUGGGUGUAAAGGGGGUGUAGGCGGGAGUGCAAGUCAGAUGUGAAAACUAUGGGCUCAACCCAUAGCCUGCAUUUGAAACUGUACUUCUUGAGUGCUGGAGAGGCAAUCGGAAUUCCGUGUGUAGCGGUGAAAUGCGUAGAUAUACGGAGGAACACCAGUGGCGAAGGCGGAUUGCUGGACAGUAACUGACGCUGAGGCGCGAAAGCGUGGGGGGCAAACAGGAUUAGAUACCCCUGUAGUC
rnacentral:rRNA from 1 species